rnacentral:rRNA from 1 species
UACGUAGGGGGCAAGCGUUGUCCGGAAUCAUUGGGCGUAAAGAGCGCGUAGGCGGCCCUGUAAGUCCGCUGUGAAAGUCAAGGGCUCAACCCUUGGAUGCCGGUGGAUACUGCAGGGCUAGAGUCCGGAAGAGGCGAGUGGAAUUCCUGGUGUAGCGGUGAAAUGCGCAGAUAUCGGGAGGAACACCAAUUGCGAAGGCAGCUCGCUGGGACGUCACUGACGCUGAGGAACGAAAGCGUGGGGAGCGAACAGG